CGCGUAGGCGGCGACCCAAGUCAGAUGUGAAAGUCCUGGGCUUAACCUGGGGACUGCAUUUGAUACUGGGUUGCUUGAAUUCGGGAGAGGAUAGCGGAAUUCCCAGUGUAGAGGUGAAAUUCGUAGAUAUUGGGAAGAACACCGGUGGCGAAGGCGGCUAUCUGGACCGACAUUGACGCUGAGGCGCGAAAGCGUGGGAGCAAACA
rnacentral:rRNA from 1 species